AUCAAAUGAAUACGACAUUAUAUAUGGGAAGGCGAUAUUUCCAACCGCCUGUAUUUAAUGGUCUCUACGGCGGCAAUCUCCCAUACAAAACUUACAGCGGCCGACGUGAAACAAAAUUAUUCUAUGCGACAAAAAGUGCACUGUUAGGCGGACAAUUCGGGCGCCUUCGACCGUCUUCGUCAAUUCGCUCGAAGCGCUCGUUCGUCGAUCGAUAAAGGGGAAAGUGCUGGUGAUUUUAGAGUACGAUUGUACUAAAUCUAGCACAAGUGGAAAAAAAUUUAGCACGCAAUACAAAUUCUGUUUUCUUACUUAAAUGUAAAAAAUAUUAAAAAUGUACAUUUUUCAUGGCAGUCUAGGUGUUUUGUUGUAAAUGUUCAAGCAAUGACUACGAUUUUUAUAACGUAUUUGAUUUUUAGUACAAUUGGAAAUAGUAUUAAAAAGAAGAAAACUACAUAAGCUCAAAGGUGCAUAAUUAAAUAACCAUGCAUUUUUGAUUACAGGGCGCGAGCCGCCACUGAUGACAAUAUCAAAUUAUCGUCUAUUUAAGUUGCGAAUCGUUAAAGGCAAUAAAUUAUACAUGAGCUCUCCAUAGUGGAAAAUAGUAUUUCUAUUUAAAGUGCUCUAAAGAGAAUGUUACUGAGUUGCAGUACAGUAACCAAAGAACAGGAUGCCAUACCUUAGGUGAGGGACUUCUUUUGAAUAGUAGUCUAAUCAACAUUUUAAUUCAUCAAUAAACACUUUAACUUAACUAGCAAUAGGUAUUUACCAUCUAAUCUGACUGGUCUAAAAGCCUACCAGUAGAGUGUAAAGUCUUCCAUAAAUACAAGCAUGAAAAUAAAAAGUAAAAAGUGAUUCCCUUAAUGAUUCCCUUUA